rnacentral:rRNA from 1 species
UACGAAGGGGGCUAGCGUUGCUCGGAAUUACUGGGCGUAAAGGGCGCGUAGGCGGACAGUUUAGUCAGAGGUGAAAGCCCAGGGCUCAACCUUGGAAUUGCCUUUGAUACUGGCUGUCUUGAGUUCGGGAGAGGUGAGUGGAAUGCCGAGUGUAGAGGUGAAAUUCGUAGAUAUUCGGCAGAACACCAGUGGCGAAGGCGACUCACUGGCCCGAUACUGACGCUGAGGCGCGAAAGCGUGGGGAGCAAACAGG